GAGCUACGACAGCUAUUUUCUUUCGUGAUUUGUCAAAAUAAGGGGGAGACCAAAGAAGUGGUAAAUGCAGUGGUGAUGAAAACUUCCUCAAAGUCAUACAAUCUCUUAGUCCGUUCCUUCUGUUUGAUCCGAAGGCCCUGUCCACAUGGAAGCUGAUCUUUGCUAUCUUAAACGCGACUGCUAAAUAACAAGAACAGUGUUAUCAGACUUGACUUCUAAUUUUAAGUGCCAUUAAAGUCACCAUCACAAAAUAUAAAGCUGAUCAGGUGUUCUUGGUUCUUUCUAAGUUUACGAAAUAUCUUCAGCCCUGCCUGGUCCAGUGGAGCCAACAAAUUCCAGGUCCCAGGGCCAAGGUCUUGGAUUUCCACAUUCAUCUUGUAAUGAUAAUACAAGGGAG